UGGAAAGGAGUCCAUGAAAUCCAGAGUUUAGCUGGGUGUGUGAUGUGGAUAACGAGGAAUGGAGGUAGUCGCAGGCCGGGCCGAGGCGAUGGGGGUCGCGUGCGGCGUGCGGCGGUGUGCGGUGUAAGGUUAGGCAGGCGCUUAUGGCUGCACGCACCUGUUGUGGUGGCAGCGGAGUGCGGCGGGGUUGGGGCCGAUGGGCACAAGGUGUGAGAGGGGUCGGAGGCUCAGGGCUGGGAGCAGUGCUGUUGCACGCAUGAAUGCAGGCGGAGGUGUCGUGUGGAUGGCGGCCUAGAAGAGUUGUCACGUGCGGGUGAGAGGGCGGCGGCGGUGGACUGGUGGAGAAGGAGCGAGUGUCAGCGGGGAUGUUGGUUUGGAGCGGGGGCGAGGGCCCGUGGUGGCAGGCGUUCGUGCGGCAGGCGAACGUGGGGGGCUGAAAUGUAUGGGGCUGUGUCGCCUCCCGACCCUGGUCGUCCGUCCGCCACCGACCGCCUGCAUUUGUGGUGAUGCCGCACCUACCCAAGCUAGGUGGGCCUGCGGCUGUGUCUGGCCCUGCACCUGAC
rnacentral:lncRNA from 1 species